UCUGCUGAGUGACCAGGAAACUCCUAUUGUUUUGUAUUUUUAUGUAUCUGAUAGUUUGGCUAUAUUUCCUGACUUUGGAGAAGUGGCCUUUUGUAGGAGACAUUGUACACAUCCCAGAACUGCAUUCCCCUCUCAUCUCCAGACCUAUAUGCUGUAGGGGUUCCCCCCUGAGGGCUGCAGGGAUUCUUCUGUUAUCAGGCUGACUAUGUGGGAGGCCUGGUAGGCUUAGUUGUCUCCUGAUCCGGUUGGUUGCCAGACCCUGCCUCAUGUGGAGGCCUUUGGUUGCUGAUUUUGUGGAACCAGGUCACAAUGUGGCUGACUGAAGAACUCCAGAGGAUUUCAAGGCUAGUGCUGGCUCAUUGUUGUGCAGAGUCAAGGUCCAGAAGACUCCAGUGCAAUUGCCUGCCCACUAGUAUAUGAGGCCAAAUCUUAGGGUUAGUGCCAGCCUACUAGUGGACAGAGCCGGUUACUGGAGUCUGGUUGCAGGUUCCAUGGGUCCCAGAGCUGGUUUUGGAUAGCUGGGGGUGGGAAACACAGUUGGUAUGGGGCCUGGGGUGUCUCAAAGCUUGUGUUGGCCUGCUGGUGAGUAGGGCCUCUGCCCAACUAGUCCCAGAGCAGGGUCUGCUGGUAGCUAUGCUGUGUCCACCAGAUCCAGGAUUGUCAUUUUCUUUUGUUUGGUGUCCACACCUUAGUGGUCGAAGCUGGUCCAUAAGUGAGAAGAGCCUUCUUGGAAGGCAGCAUUGGGGGCCAGAGCUUCUAUGGUUGGUGCCUGUCUACUGGUGGGUAAUGUUAGAGCUUGUUCCUGGGCUCUCUGGUGGGCCGUGUCCAGAGACAGCUGUAGGCUCAGUGAGUCUUAGAGAAGUCUCUCUAAUUACGAGUGGGUUUCGAUUACUGCCCAUUUAGUUGCCUGGCCUGAUGCAUCCAAGCAGUGGUUUCUAUAGGCUAUUGGGCCAGGGUGGGGCUGGGUCCUGGGGCUAAUAGGCUAGAGGGAGAAUUCCACAAUGGCACUUAGCAGCACCACUGUCCCCAUGGUAGAAGGAACUUCCAAGAAUGGCUGCUAUCUGUUUGUCUCCAGGGUGAGCUGUGGUUCCCCCCUGACUUUCUGGGAGAGUCUCCAGAAUCAGCAAGUAAGUCUAACCCAGGAUCCUCUAUUUACUGCUUCUGCCCUGGGUUCACGAGUGUAUGAGAAUUUGUGCGCCCUUUACAAAUGAAACCUCUAUGCCCCCACCCCUCUGCAUGUCCCCAGAGUAAGCCCCAUAGGACUUCAAAGCCAAGUGCUCUGGAAUCUCUUCUUCCUGAUGCAGGACCCCUCGGCUGAGGAGACUGACCUAGGGUUCAGAUUAUCCACUCCUUGAAGAGAACCUCUGUAGUGUAAUUAUUUUUCCAGUUUGUGGGUUACCCAGGAACAUGAGACAUGACUGUAUCACCGGCCCACCCCUCCAAUCCAUCUUGUUGAGUCACCAGAGAGCAGAUGUCAAGUAAGAAGCCAUAUAUGAAAAACUUCAGAUGUAGGAAUAAGUCGGGGGUAAAAAUACUUUGAAGUCAUCAUUCGGCAUAUGACAAGCAAAGCCUUGGAUGGAUGUGACACACACUUAGGGAGACAAGAGUGGAAAAAAGACUAAGAUUGAAUCUGCAAAAAACUCCAAGAUAUAGUAAGUUUGAGUUGCAUAUUUUCUUCCUGGGGAAAUGCAAAUUUCCACAUUUAUCAAUUUAACUCAGAUACUGCUUUUUAAAUUGCAUAUAUUCAACUGUUUUAUACAUAUAGUUCUACUUGUUUUCCAUUUUAUGUUCUGACCACAUAUCUUAAAACCAAGAUGUUUCUAAACAUGAUUAAUAAGCCAGCUAUAAACUCAAACUCACCUGUAUAUUUCUAAGAGGAGUGAGAGAUAAAAAAAAUACUGACGUAAACUACUUAGUACACAUAGAAACUUUUUAAAAAUCACAAUUUUCAAUAGCUUGUCUGCUGUCCCAAUUAUCCACUAGCCUUAUAUGAAGGCAGAGCAUAUUGAAUGUUUUCUUACAAAGCAAUACUUCUACAUUGUUCUAAAAUCAAUCAGAUAAAUAUACCUUUAUCUUAAUUUUAUAUUUAUCAUGAAUAGUGCUUACUGGCAUAUUACAAUUUGCAGAUAUUGAUACUAUUAAAUAUUCUAUUUCUAAAAACAGUUGUUCAAAUCAAAAUACUUUAUACCUCAUUUAUACUCUACUAAUUUAUACUUCAUUUAUAGGUAUUCCAGGAUCAUAGCAACUGAAGAUAAGGUUGAUAUAUAAAUUCUGGUUCUUCUUAUCUGGAUAGAAAAGAAUACAAACAUUUUUAGAGUACAUGAAGUUGAAUGUUUAUUUGGAAAGUUGAAUUCUUGUAUACUGAAAAUAUUUUUAAACCAUACAUAUUCAUAAGCGCAAUACAAACACCACCUACAAUACAAACACAUUUUAAAGUUCUACUGUGAAUAUUAAUCUAAGCCAAAAAAAUCAGAUAAACGAGUUAUACAUACCUUUUAUCUCUUUUGAUGAUGUAAUCAAACAAUUUAAGAUAUAAAACAAAGUAAGCUUUGGCUCAACCCUACUUAUUUUACCAUGGGAAUACUAGAAUGUACACUACCACAGAUUACAAACCUAAUCCCUUUAUAAUCAAUUUGAAAUUGUUACAAGAAUCAUAUCUUAAUGACAUGUAAACAUAUUUAGGUUUUCAAUUGGCAAUUAUGUUUUAAAUGCUUAGAAAAAGACACCAACAUUUCUCAUUAUUGUUCUCUUUAGUUCAUCUCUUCCAUUAAUAUAAAAUAGGAAAAAUAUUGAGACUUCCAGCAUAAUUUCAUUGUGCUUUACACUUUUAUAAACAUGGGUACAUCUAAAAUAUCAGAUGCCUUUAUACCAAUGGAAUAAAUCCACCAAAUUCACAUUUUCUUAUAAAUACACAUGCAAAAUUAGUGAAAAACACUUUUGUAUAGCAAAGACCCUGCUUAAUUUUUUUCUGAUUAGUAAUUUUUGAUGGCAUGUGCAAAUUGUACUGCUCAUUGAACAGCAGAUUUAUUUUACUUCCUGUAGAUUUGUUUCUCUAUAAAAAUAUAUUUAUGUGUUCCAAGGAAAAAAGUUGAGUUGGUAUAUGUGCAGUGACUUUGACACAUCAUUAAUUACAGGAUUGUUUAUGAAGUGAAAAGGCAUCUUAGCUUUUAUCAUUUUCAAAUUUUUUUUCAUAAAAAAGAACACCCUGUGACAGAGAUAAGGUAACUGAGAUAAUUGUUAGCACUUUAGAGUUGAGAUAGUUUGAAGCAAAGGGGUCAAGCAACUCAAUGUUUAUGUACAAAAUCAGUGCUGGAACCAGGAAGAGAACUCAGAUUUUCCCAACCCUUGGACAGGUCUCUAUGAAUUUACCCCCACCCAAAAUCCUUGAGAUUAUAUACAAUCUAUUAUAUUAAAAUGAUAGACAGUACACUAGAGAAAGUUAACCGUGGACCUAUUCCUUCUGUGAAGAUUCCCAGUAGAAACCAAACA